rnacentral:rRNA from 1 species
UACGUAGGCAGCAAGCGUUGUUCGGAGUUACUGGGCGUAAAGAGUGCGUAGGCGGUCCUGUAAGUUUGGUGUGAAAUCUCCCGGCUCAACUGGGAGGGUGCGCCGAAGACUGCAGGGCUUGAGUAUGGGAGAGGUAAGCGGAAUUCCUGGUGUAGCGGUGAAAUGCGCAGAUAUCAGGAGGAACACCAACAGCGAAGGCAGCACUCUGGGCCGGUACUGACGCUGAGGAGCGAAAGCAUGGGGAGCGAACAGG